rnacentral:rRNA from 1 species
CUAUUUCUAGAGUAUAGAAAGUUACUUCGGUACAUCGGUGACAGGUGGUGCAUGGUUGUCGUCAGCUCGUGUCGUGAGAUGUUGGGUUAAGUCCCGCAACGAGCGCAACCCCUAUUGUUAGUUGCCAUCAUUCAGUUGGGCACUCUAGCGAGACUGCCGGUAAUAAACCGGAGGAAGUGGGGAUGACGUCAAAUCAUCAUGCCCCUUAUGACCUGGGCUACACACGUGCUACAAUGGUUGGUACAACGAGUUGCGAGUCGGUGACGGCGAGCUAAUCUCUUAAAGCCAAUCUCAGUUCGGAUUGUAGGCUGCAACUCGCCUACAUGAAGUCGGAAUCGCUAGUAAUCGCGGAUCAGCACGCCGCGGUGAAUACGUUCCCGGGUCUU